UUGGGUGUGAAUGUUCUUCGCUGAUAAAACAGUUAUUGAUAAUUACUUUUUCACGCGUUUCUUUUGUGUAUCAAGAUUGUGACGAUGAUAUGCGUACACGUCUGUCAACCAUGCUGCAUACUUCCGGCUCAUACAAUUUCAAUAUCACCUAUUCUUUCCAGGCUUGGCUGUUCCUCUAACCGUCACUACACUCUUCGCUUUUGCCAUUUUGCACGUAGGUACCAGCGAUCAAACUACAGUACCGGAGCCAGAGGACAGCACUUCAGAACCGGAUGCCGAAGACACAGAAUCUGAAAAGGACGACGAAGCACAUGAGAGCGCUAGUGCGGUUGAGAUGCAACCCGGAAUAAUAGCGCCGUCAUGGAAGUCCUUGCGGGAAAUGCGGCGGAUGAAGUUCCUGGAACGACUGAACGAAAGUACAGCAGCUUUGUGCAAAAGGCUACAAAGCAGAUUUGACAGAAUUCAUUCUAUUCUUCUUGCGAAGUCUGC